UACGUAGGCAGCAAGCGUUGUUCGGAAUUACUGGGCGUAAAGCGAACGUAGGCGGUGUUCCAUGUCAGAGGUGAAAGCCUGGGGCUCAACUCCAGAAUUGCCUUUGAAACGGGAACGCUUGAGUCCGAGAGAGGGUGGCGGAAUUCCUAGUGUAGAGGUGAAAUUCGUAGAUAUUAGGAAGAACACCAGUGGCGAAGGCGGCCACCUGGCUCGGUACGUGACGCUCAGGUUCGAAAGCGUGGGGAGCAAACAGG
rnacentral:rRNA from 1 species